rnacentral:ncRNA from 1 species
UAACUGAUAUUCCGAUGAGUGGAAUGAGAGGGUAACGCCUUGAAACGCUCCCCUAAUACUACGACAAAAGGGCGGUCUGCAAAUUGACCUAACCCUGAUGCAGCUCGUUGAAGUCGGCUGAAUACACUCGCUUUACUCGUGGUCAACAUUAGAAACAACGGUAAGGCAAACGCAAACCAGAGGUGGUUGUGGGUGUUAGGUCGGGGGUCUAUAAA